AAAAUGUCCGACGAACGGGAACGUGAAACUCCAAGUAACAGGUUUUUGAUAUAUUUCUGCUGAUUUUAAAUAAAGCGUAUUACUGUACCUCAGGUAAUUGAGUACUCUUUUUUCCACCUUGUUUCACAUUUAUGUGUUUACUCCGGUAUAUGUAUAUAUAUAUACAUAUAUAUCUAUAUAUAUAUAUAUA